rnacentral:rRNA from 1 species
CCUACGGGAGGCAGCAGUGGGGGAUAUCGCACAAUGGGGGAAACCCUGAUGCAGCGACGCUGCGUGUGGGAAGACGGUCCUCUGGAUUGUAAACCACUGUCCCCAGGGAUGAAGAUGACGGCACCUGGGGAGGCAGCUCCGGCUAACUACGUGACAGCAGCCGCGGUCAUACGUAGGGAGUGAGCGUUGUCCGGAAUUACUGGGUGUAAAGGGAGCGUAGGUGGGACUGCCAGUUGGGUGUCAAGUCUACCGGCUCAACCGGUAGCCGCACUCAAAACUGCAGUUCUUGAGUGAAGUAGAGGCAGGCGGGAUUCCUAGUGUAGCGGUGAAAUGCGUAGAUAUUAGGAGGAACACCAGUGGCGAAGGCGGCCUGCUGGGCUGUUACUGACGCUGAGGCUCGAAAGUGUGGGGAGCAAACAGGAUUAGAUACCCCUGUAGUC